rnacentral:lncRNA from 1 species
CGGGAAUGCGGCAGCGGGCGGCAGCCUUUGUCAGGCGCUUUUUCUGGGAGAGAAAAAGGGGAAAAAAGCAGCUGUAUUUUUUUUCCUCAAGUGUCGGAUGUUCCCUGCGUGUGCAGUGAAACCGGGUGUGCGAUCACUGGCUGUCCCUGUCUGCUGGUUACACCAGAUCCUUCUUUCUGUGGUUCACAGAAGAAUGACCAACUACCUGGACUAUAUCUGGGGUUUAGAUAGUCCACCCAGGGUCUCCACAUGUUGUUGGACACUGCACACCAGAAUUGUGCUGCUCUGCUCCAUUCCAAGGUCUUUGCCCACAUUGUAAGUCAAGCACUUCCCAGCUGAGUUCAUUUGAUUUGCACUCCCACAGACCAUUGUUUUCUGAAUCUGGAGGAAAGAACGGUAAAUCCUUGUACAACUGCUGCACAAUGAAAAUGUUUGUUUUUGAGACAGAUAUCACCUUUAAUGUGAUGCUCCUCUAACAAGCCUAUAGAGAAGCAGUCAAGAGUGGCAUUUUCUCUUCUUUCUUUACUAAAUUUCUCCUGUAGCUCCUGUCUCCAAGAACUAAUGAUAGGACAUACAAAGAUGUCUAAUAAAGUGCUAACAAAUUAGUUUUUCUGGUGUUUU